AAUUCUCAACCUUUCUGUCUUUUUUCAAGACUAGUCAGGCUUGGAUUGUGGGAGUUGCAGGCUUUUUUCAGAGCCGGCUCUCCUAAAAUGCAUUAGCAAAAUUGUUGCUGGACCAUCGUUGGUAUGAUAAUUAUCUAUAUCAUUGAAGGCUGGCUUGGAUUUAGCUUCUAACUGUGUCCUUGUAAGGACGUCAUUUUUUGACAU
rnacentral:misc_RNA from 1 species